UACGUAGGGUGCAAGCGUUGUCCGGAAUUACUGGGCGUAAAGAGCUCGUAGGUGGUUUGUCGCGUUGUUCGUGAAAACUCACAGCUCAACUGUGGGCGUGCGGGCGAUACGGGCAGACUUGAGUACUGCAGGGGAGACUGGAAUUCCUGGUGUAGCGGUGGAAUGCGCAGAUAUCAGGAGGAACACCGGUGGCGAAGGCGGGUCUCUGGGCAGUAACUGACGCUGAGGAGCGAAAGCGUGGGGAGCAAACAGG
rnacentral:rRNA from 1 species